GCAUAUCAAUAAGCGGAGGAAAAGAAACCAACAGGGAUUGCCCUAGUAACGGCGAGUGAAGCGGCAACAGCUCAAAUUUGAAAUCUGGCUUCGGCCCGAGUUGUAAUUUGCAGAGGAAGCUUUAGGCGCGGCACCUUCUGAGUCCCCUGGAACGGGGCGCCAUAGAGGGUGAGAGCCCCGUAUAGUUGGAUGCCUAGCCUGUGUAAAGCUCCUUCGACGAGUCGAGUAGUUUGGGAAUGCUGCUCAAAAUGGGAGGUAAAUUUCUUCUAAAGCUAAAUACCGGCCAGAGACCGAUAGCGCACAAGUAGAGUGAUCGAAAGAUGAAAAGCACUUUGAAAAGAGGGUUAAAUAGCACGUGAAAUUGUUGAAAGGGAAGCGCUUGUGACCAGACUUGCGCCGGGCGGAUCAUCCGGUGUUCUCACCGGUGCACUCCGCCCGGCUCAGGCCAGCAUCGGUUCUCGCGGGGGGAUAAAGGCCCUGGGAACGUAGCUCCUCCGGGAGUGUUAUAGCCCGGGGCGUAAUGCCCUCGCGGGGACCGAGGUUCGCGCAUCUGCAAGGAUG
rnacentral:rRNA from 1 species